rnacentral:lncRNA from 1 species
AAAUCAUAUAUUAAAAAAAUUUGUUGGAUUACAAUAGUUGAUAUUACAUGAGUAAUAUCAUCCAAAUGUGAUGCAUAAUCUAAAUAUUUUCUUGACAGAAAAAUUGAAACCGAAAACAUCCAUCAACAUCCCUACAAUUUAACUAAAACUUAAUCGAGGAACAUUAUCAAACAGGAACAUCAUGCCUAGAACUUAACUAAAACUAAACACAACCUUCAUAACUAAAACUGAAAACAGACAUCAUCCUCAUCAUCGUGAACCGGAACAUCAUCAUCUCU